UACAGAGGGUGCGAGCGUUAAUCGGAAUUACUGGGCGUAAAGCGUACGUAGGCGGCUUGGUAUGUCGGGUGUGAAAUCCCCGGGCUCAACCUGGGAACUGCAUCCGAAACUGCCUUGCUCGAGUAUGGGAGAGGGAAGUGGAAUUUCCGGUGUAGCGGUGAAAUGCGUAGAUAUCGGAAGGAACAUCAGUGGCGAAGGCGACUUCCUGGACCAAUACUGACGCUCAGGUGCGAAAGCGUGGGGAGCAAACAGGG
rnacentral:rRNA from 1 species